rnacentral:rRNA from 1 species
UUUUUCCUACGGGGCGCAGCAGUGAGGAAUAUUGGUCAAUGGGCGGGAGCCUGAACCAGCCACGCCGCGUGAGGGAAGAAGGUACAGCGUAUCGUAAACCUCUUUUGUCAGGGAACAAAGGCGGGGACUAGUCCCCGGAUGAGGGUACCUGAAGAAAAAGCAUCGGCUAACUCCGUGCCAGCAGCCGCGGUAAUACGGAGGAUGCGAGCGUUAUCCGGAUUUAUUGGGUUUAAAGGGUGCGCAGGCGGCCUGGUAAGUCAGCGGUAAAAGCCCGGGGCGCAACCCCGGCUAGCCGUUGAAACUGG